rnacentral:rRNA from 1 species
GACGUAGGGCGCGAGCGUUUGUCCGGAUUUAUUGGGCGUAAAGAGCGCGUAGGCGGCCAGAUAAGUCCGGUGUGAAAGUCAAAGGCUCAACCUUUGAAUGCCGCUGGAAACUGUCUGGCUAGAGUCCGGGAGGGGCGAGUGGAAUUCCUGGUGUAGCGGUGAAAUGCGCAGAUAUCAGGAGGAACACCAAUUGGGCGAAAGGCAUCUUUUACCUUGGGC